CAGUACUAUACUAUACUAGUAUACUAAAAUUGGAACGAUACAGAGAAGAUUAGAAUGGCCCCUUGCGCAAGGAUGACCCGCAAAAUCGUGAAGCAUUCCACAUUUUA
rnacentral:snRNA from 2 species